rnacentral:rRNA from 1 species
ACUCAAAUGAAUUGACGGGGAACCGCACAAGCAGAGGAGGAUGUGGUUUAAUAUGACGCUACGCGUAGAACCUUACCCAGGCUUGACAUCCUUGGAACCCACUGGAAACAGAGGGGUGCCGCAAGGAGCCAAGUGACAGGUGCUGCAUGGCCGUCGUCAGCUCGUGUCGUGAGAUGUUGGGUUAAGUCCCGCAACGAGCGCAACCCUUAUCGUAUGUUGUAUUUUUCAUGCGAGACUGCCCGGGCCAACCGGGAGGAAGAUGGGGAUGAAGUCAGGUCUGCAUGGCCCUUACGCCUGGGGCUACACACGUCCUACAAUGGCCAGUACAACGCGCUGCGAUACCGCGAGGUGGAGCAAAUCGCAUCAAAACUGGUCCCAGUUCGGAUUGGAGGCUGCAACUCGCCUCCAUGAAGUCGGAUUUGCUAGUAACCGUGGGUCAGCACACCACGGUGAAUACGUUCCCGGUUCUUGUACACACCGCCCGU